CCUACGGGUGGCAGCAGUGAGGAAUCUUGGUCAAUGGGCGAGAGCCUGAACCAGCCAAGUCGCGUGAAGGAUGCCGGCCCUACGGGUUGUAAACUUCUUUUUUCAGGGAGCAAUUGGGUCCACGCGUGGGCUUAGCGAGAGUACCUGCAGAAACAGCAUCGGCUAACUCCGUGCCAGCAGCCGCGGUCAUACGGGGGAUGCGAGCGUUCUCCGGAUUUUGUGGGUUUAAAGGGUGCGUAGGCGGAAUAUCAAGUCAGCGGUAAAAAUUCGGGGCUAAACCCCGUCGUGCCGUUGAAACUGAUGUUCUUGAGUGGGCGAGAAGUAUGCGGAAUGCGUGGUGUAGCGGUGAAAUGCAUAGAUAUCACGCAGAACUCCGAUUGCGAAGGCAGCAUACCGGCGCCCAACUGACGCUGAAGCACGAAAGCGUGGGUAUCGAACAGGAUUAGAUACCCGUGUAGUC
rnacentral:rRNA from 1 species